CCCUUAGAUGAUUUGGGCUGCACGCGCGCUACACUGACCCUAACAAUGAGCAACUGUCUGGCCUGAGAUGGCUGGGUAGCCUUUUCAACCCGUGUCAUGAUUGGGCUAGAUUUUUGUAAGUCUUGAUCUCUAACGAGGAAUCCCUAGUAUGCGUGAAUCAUCAAUCCAUGCAGAUUAUGUCCCUGCCCUUUGUACACACCGCCCGCCGCUCCUACUGAUUGGGUGAUCCGGUGAGCUGUUCGGCCAUAGCAAUGUUUCUUGAGCAGGGCAAUGAAUGUUUCGCAAACCUUGCCACUUAGAGGAAGGAGAAGUCGUAACA
rnacentral:rRNA from 1 species